GAUCUGGCUCAGAUUGAACGCUGGCGGCAUGCUUUACACAUGCAAGUCGGACGGCAGCACAGAGAAGCUUGCUUCUUGGGUGGCGAGUGGCGAACGGGUGAGUAAUAUAUCGGAACGUACCGAGUAAUGGGGGAUAACUAAUCGAAAGAUUAGCUAAUACCGCAUAUUCUCUGAGGAGGAAAGCAGGGGACCUUCGGGCCUUGCGUUAUUCGAGCGGCCGAUAUCUGAUUAG
rnacentral:rRNA from 1 species